AACGCUAGCUACAGGCUUAACACAUGCAAGUCGAGGGGCAGCAUGAAGUCAGCUUGCUGACUUUGAUGGCGACCGGCGCACGGGUGAGUAACGCGUAUCCAACCUUCCCCUUACUCAGGAAUAGCCCGUUGAAAGACGGAUUAAUGCCUGAUGUUCUCAUGUUGCCGCAUGGCGAUAUGAGCAAAGAUUCAUCGGUAAGGGAUGGGGAUGCGUAUGAUUAGCUUGUUGGCGGGGUAACGGCCCACCAAGGCAACGAUCAUUAGGGGUUCUGAGAGGAAGGUCCCCCACACUGGAACUGAGACACGGUCCAGACUCCUACGGGAGGCAGCAGUGAGGAAUAUUGGUCAAUGGAGGCAACUCUGAACCAGCCAAGUAGCGUGCAGGAAGACGGCCCUAUGGGUUGUAAACUGCUUUUAUGCGGGGAUAAAUGAUCCUACGUGUAGGUUUUUGCAGGUACCGCAUGAAUAAGGACCGGCUAAUUCCGUGCCAGCAGCCGCGGUAAUACGGAAGGUCCAGGCGUUAUCCGGAUUUAUUGGGUUUAAAGGGAGCGUAGGCGGCCUGUUAAGCGUGUUGUGAAAUGUAGAGGCUCAACCUCUGCACUGCAGCGCGAAGUGGCGGGCUUGAGUUGGCUGAAAGUAUGCGGAAUUCGUGGUGUAGCGGUGAAAUGCUUAGAUAUCACGAAGAACUCCGAUUG
rnacentral:rRNA from 1 species